UACCUGCAGCUCAAGUGGUGAUCGUUAUUAUUGGGCCUAAAACGUCCGUAGCCGGUCUUGUAAAUGCCUGGGUAAAUCGUAUGGCUUAACUAUACGAAUUCCGGGUAGACUGUUAGACUUGAGACCGGGAGAAGCUAGAGGUACUCCUGGGGUAGAGGUGAAAUUCUGUAAUCCUAGGGGGACCACCAGUGGCGAAGGCGUCUAGCUAGAACGGGUCUGACGGUGAGGGACGAAGCCCUGGGGCGCAAACGGGAUUAGAUACCCCGGUAGUCCAGGGUGUAAACGCUGCUUGCUUGAUGUUAGUCUGGCUCCGAGCCAGAUUGGUGUCGGAGAGAAGUUGUUAAGCAAGCUGCCUGGGAAGUACGGCCGCAAGACUGAAACUUAAAGGAAUUGGCGGGGGAGCACAGCAACGGGUGGAGCGUGCGGUUU
rnacentral:rRNA from 1 species